UCCAUUGGGUGGUCGAGAGAGCCAAGAUAUCCACCGAGUUCUGACAGAGAAAGGGACUCCGUUGAGAGGCCGAGAGAGCCAAGAUAUCCGCGUGACGCGCCAUCUCAUGGCGAGGACCUCAGAGACCGGCUGAACAGGCCGCCUCAUGAGAGGACGCCUGGCAGCGGCGCGUUCUUCGUCAACAACGGCGCGGACUCCCAGGCCAGGGGGCAGCGGAUGGAGCACAGGCAGCUACAGAUGAUCAACCGCACCAUCAACGACGACAUGGACUCCCUCUCCGUCGGGAGCCACGAGUCCUCCGAGCAGCCCCGUGUCAGCGUGCGGACCAUACACAACAGACCAAGGACCAGAAUAAACCUGGGCUGGUAGCCAGCCAUAUCAUGUGUGACCGACCGUGUCUGUACUCAAAAUCUUGGGAUGCAAUGUCGGAAAAGUUUAUCGAUACCUGGAAACUGGAAAGGGGAAGUUGAGAUGUACAUUUCAGGAACUGAAUUCACUGAUAGAUACUGUAGUCAGGAGCCUAUUGUGUAGAUAAUCAGAGCUGUUAUUUUUUCCUGGAAUGCUGUAAUUGUGUCUUGGUGUGGAUGUUGUGUUGCGUUGGCGCGAUUAUUGAUGACUGAAUAAUAUUGGCUGGGUGUAGGGCAGGAGUUUUUCCUGGAAUUAAUAUGCUGUGAUUGUGUCUUCAGUAACAUUUUGCUCUUUAUAUUUGGAAAGAGAUAGCAGUAACAUUUUGCUUUUGGCCUGUGAAAUUUUAUUAUUUGUGCUGCUUUGGUUUGAGGGAAAGAUUGUGUGCUUGUUUUUGUUUUUAUGCCUAGAAGGAUUUGUGAGAUCUGAAUUCACUGAUAGAUACUGUAGUCAGGAGCCUAUUGUGUAGAUAAUCAGAGCUGUUAUUUUUUCCUGGAAUGCUGUAAUUGUGUCUUGGUGUGGAUGUUGUGUUGCGUUGGCGCGAUUAUUGAUGACUGAAUAAUAUUGGCUGGGUGUAGGGCAGGAGUUUUUCCUGGAAUUAAUAUGCUGUGAUUGUGUCUUCAGUAACAUUUUGCUCUUUAUAUUUGGAAAGAGAUAGCAGUAACAUUUUGCUUUUGGCCUGUGAAAUUUUAUUAUUUGUGCUGCUUUGGUUUGAGGGAAAGAUUGUGUGCUUGUUUUUGUUUUUAUGCCUAGAAGGAUUUGUGAGAUCUGNNNNNNNNNNGUGAAGCCUAUUCAUAGAUCUAUCUCAAGGUGAAAUUUCUAAUGGCAGGACAGGAAAGGAAAUCCACCAGGCAUCAUUCGAACUUUUGUUUCUGAUCCGAUCCCUGAACUAUUUAAGGUCAUGAUCAAGAGAUUGGUAAGGUGGCGUAUUCUGCCAACGGAUUGUGUGCCAGACAGUUGCAUUGUCAACAUGUAUGACCCUGGAGAUUGCAUUCCACCACAUAUAGACAGCCAUGAUUUUGUUCGACCAUUUUGUACUGUUUCAUUCCUCAGUGAAUGCGACAUACUUUUUGGGUCUAGUCUGAAAAUCGCUGGUCCUGGAGAAUUUACGGGCUCAUUUGCAAUUCCUCUGCCUGUUGGGUAUGUUGGUUAUCUUCUCUCGAUUUUCCUCUAUGCUUAUGAAUAUCAUGCAGAAUUGACACUUCCUUUUGCAUGUAGUAUUCACACUUAAUUAUGUAGUGUAUGGAUAGGUCUGAAACUCUGAAUUGAUUAUAUUCCUGGAGAUUUGAGAAUUUUGAUUGCAUAUGAAUUCAAAGACCGUGUCUGAUUCAUUUGCUUACUGCAUGACAUCUUGACUGUACAUGUGUGGAUAGUUUUGAUUUUAUUUUAUUUUUUGACAUUCCGAAGUUCUGAUCUCAUAUGAAUACCAAUAUCAUGCAAAGUCCGUUUGAUACAUGUAAAUGAUAUUGCUUGCUGCAUAGCACAUUGAGGUGCUGAGCUUGUUAGCUUUGAUCUGAAGUUAUCUCAAGUUUGUGCCAAGAUAAGCUAUUUUCUAAUGAUUAUGAGCCAUUUUCUAGUGAUUUUCUUUUUUAUUGUUAUCUUGUCUUUGUUUCUUUACCUGGGUGUCAUGAAUUGUAUGUGAUGUGUGCAGUGAUCUCUGUAGUUUUAUGCUGUCAUUCUUUGCUUCCUUUGCUGAACACUAAAUGUGAACAUUCACAGGUCUGUGCUCGUCAUAAAUGGCAAUGGUGCUGAUGUUGCAAAGCAUUGUGUUCCAGCGGUACCAUCCAAAAGGUUAUAGUUGUAUGUUGCAUUAUUUUUCUGAACUUGAUUUGUUCACCUCUGACAUUAUGCUGGAACUCUGAUUGAUGUACAGGAUAUCCAUUACCUUCAGAAAAAUGGAUCCUGCAAAGCGUCCGUUCAGUUUCAAGGAUGACCCUGAACUGCUGAACAUCACUCCUCUCGAAGCACCAGCUGCACCCGAAACUAGCAGAUCCUCGGAUGAAGGCAAGGGGAAGCAGCUUGGCGUACAAACUCGGGAUCCAGGCAGCAGAUCAUCCAGAAGCAGGAAAUCCAAAGGAAGAACGACACCUGCUGGAAAGGUUGGAUGGGGGGGCAUUCUUGGAGACCAACCUCCACAGCACCCACAGAGCCCUAUCUCCAGUGUGAGCUCUGACAGAGAGAGGGACUCCAUUGGGAGGUCGAGAGAGCCAAGAUAUCCACCGAGUUCUGACAGAGAAAGGGACUCCGUUGAGAGGCCGAGAGAGCCAAGAUAUCCGCGUGACGCGCCAUCUCAUGGCGAGGACCUCAGAGACCGGCUGAACAGGCCGCCUCAUGAGAGGACGCCUGGCAGCGGCGUGUUCUUCGUCAACAACGGCGCGGACUCCCAGGCCAGGGGGCAGCGGAUGGAGCACAGGCAGCUACAGAUGAUCAACCGCACCAUCAACGACGACAUGGACUCCCUCUCCGUCGGGAGCCACGAGUCCUCCGAGCAGCCCCGUGUCAGCGUGCGGACCAUACACAACAGACCAAGGACCAGAAUAAACCUGGGCUGGUAGCCAGCCAUAUCAUGUGUGAGCGACCGUGUCUGUACUCAAAAUCUUGGGAUGCAAUGUCGGAAAAGUUUAUCGAUACCUGGAAACUGGAAAGGGGAAGUUGAGAUGUACAUUUCAGGAACUGAAUUCACUGAUAGAUACUGUAGUCAGGAGCCUAUUGUGUAGAUAAUCAGAGCUGUUAUUUUUUCCUGCAAUGCUGUAAUUGUGUCUUGGUGUGGAUGUUGUGUUGCGUUGGCGCGAUUAUUGAUGACUGAAUAAUAUUGGCUGGGUGUAGGGCAGGAGUUUUUCCUGGAAUUAAUAUGCUGUGAUUGUGUCUUCAGUAACAUUUUGCUCUUUAUAUUUGGAAAGAGAUAGCAGUAACAUUUUGCUUUUGGCCUGUGAAAUUUUAUUAUUUGUGCUGCUUUGGUUUGAGGGAAAGAUUGUGUGCUUGUUUUUGUUUUUAUGCCUAGAAGGAUUUGUGAGAUCUGGAGUUCUGCAGAAGCAAAGUCAAGAUAGUGUUUUUUACGGAGUGCAUUAUAUUCAGAUGUGCAAAAAACAAACAAAAAAAAUGGAGAAGUGGGUAAUUCAGUCAGAUCUGCAAGAAUUAAAAAUUAAAAUAAAGAAAUUUAAGAAAAAAAAGGAGAAUGGAGAAGUGGGG
rnacentral:lncRNA from 1 species